rnacentral:tRNA from 1 species
GCCUUCGUGGUGUAGUGGUCAGCACACUCGACGUGUAACCGAGAGAUCCAUGGUUCGAUUCCCUGCAAAAGGCG